rnacentral:rRNA from 1 species
GUGGGGAAUAUUCCGCAAUGGACGAAAGUCUGACGGAGCAACGCCGCGUGAGUGAUGAAGGUUUUCGGACUGUAAAGCUCUGUUGUUUAGGACGAAAGUGCCUGUUGCAAAUAGUUACAGGUAUUGACGGUACUGAACGAGGAAGCCACGGCUAACUACGUGUCAGCAGCCGCGGUAAUACGUAGGUGGCAAGCGUUGUCCGGAAUUAUUGGGCGUAAAGAGCAUGUAGGCGGGAAUCUAAGUCUGUUGUGAAAAUGCGGGGCUCAACCCCGUAUUGCGAUGGAAACUGGGUUUCUUGAGUGCAGGAGAGGAAAGGGGAAUUCCCAGUGUAGCGGUGAAAUGCGUAGAUAUUGGGAGGAACACCAGUGGCGAAGGCGCCUUUCUGGACUGUGUCUGACGCUGAGAUGCGAAAGCCAGGGUAGCGAACGGGAUUAGAAACCCCAGUAGUCC